UACGAAGGGGGCGAGCGUUGUUCGGAUUUACUGGGCGUAAAGGGCGCGUAGGCGGCGGUCCAAGUCGAGUGUGAAAGCCCCGGGCUCAACCUGGGAGGUGCGCUCGAGACUGGUUCGCUGGAGUUCGGGAGAGGAGAGUGGAAUUCCCAGUGUAGAGGUGAAAUUCGUAGAUAUUGGGAAGAACACCGGUGGCGAAGGCGGCUCUCUGGACCGAGACUGACGCUGAGGCGCGAAAGCGUGGGGAGCAAACAGG
rnacentral:rRNA from 1 species